rnacentral:lncRNA from 1 species
CUCUAUGGGUUUCCGCACGUGGUGAGCGGGCAGGUAAACAAACUUCCCUGCUGCUGUCACGACCACCUCCAAAGGUAAACAUGGAUAAGUGCACGAAUCAGCUCAUUAUACCUACGUCCGUUGCUUUCUUUGUUCAUGUUGUAGCGGCACGCUUGUACACACAAAGAAGAAAAGGAUCGGCUUCUGCUGAUGUUAGUUGGGCCCGUCAAGGUCUAGCCUAACUCUGCACCGUUGACAACAAUUAGCUGCAAGCACUGAUUGCUGCUGGUUGCUCAGUCUAGAAUCUGGCCUCACAAAUGCGAUGAGCCUAGCUGAAAGCAUCACUGCCAAAAUGGCAUGCCAUGCCCUUUCAAAGAUCGGUGGUCAGGUCGAGGUUGGCAUGCAGUGCAGCUUGUCUCUCGCUGACAAGUCUGUUGGCUGCUCGUUGAAACCAGGGAGCGAGUCUAGGAGCGUGCAGACUAUGGAGGCUGUGGAGCAGUUAAGCUCCACCUCAGGUUUUGGUGACGACAUCCCAGAGCACAUCAUCGGUGAUGACUAAGCGGGACUAGGCGUGCGCAACACUGCCCUCAGGCAAUGAGCAGCAUGCACUGGGC